rnacentral:rRNA from 1 species
CCUACGGGUUGCACCAGUGGGGAAUUUUGGACAAUGGGCGAAAGCCUGAUCCAGCAAUGCCGCGUGCAGGAUGAAGGCCCUCGGGUUGUAAACUGCUUUUGUACGGAACGAAAAGCCUGGGGCUAAUAUCCUCGGGUCAUGACGGUACCGUAAGAAUAAGCACCGGCUAACUACGUGCCAGCAGCCGCGGUAAUACGUAGGGUGCAAGCGUUAAUCGGAAUUACUGGGCGUAAAGCGUGCGCAGGCGGUUUUGUAAGACAGUGGUGAAAUCCCCGGGCUCAACCUGGGAACUGCCAUUGUGACUGCAAGGCUAG